UACGUAGGGGGCGAGCGUUGUCCGGAUUUAUUGGGCGUAAAGAGCUCGUAGGCGGCUUAGCAAGUCGGGUGUGGAAAACUCCAGGCUCAACCUGGAGACGCCACUCGAGACUGCUAUGGCUAGAGUCCGGUAGGGGACCACGGAAGUUCCUCGGUGUAGCGGUGAAAUGCGCAGAUAUCGGGAGGAACACCAGUAGCGAAGGCGGCUCGCUGGGCCAUACCUGACGCUGAGACGCGAAAGCGUGGGGAGCAAACAGG
rnacentral:rRNA from 1 species